rnacentral:rRNA from 1 species
GAUCAUGGCUCAGGACGAACGCUGGCGGCGUGCCUAACACAUGCAAGUCGAACGGAGUGAAGCCCUUCGGGACUUUACUUAGUGGCGAACGGGUGAGUAACGCGUGAGGAACCUGCCUUUCAGUGGGGGACAACAGUUGGAAACGACUGCUAAUACCGCAUGACGCUUCUUGGGGGCAUCCCCGGGAAGCCAAAGAUUUAUUGCUGAAAGAUGGCCUCGCGUCUGAUUAGCUGGUUGGUGAGGUAACGG